GACGAACGCUGGCGGCGUGCUUAACACAUGCAAGUCGAACGCUGAAGCUUGGUGCUUGCACUGGGUGGAUGAGUGGCGAACGGGUGAGUAAUACGUGAGUAACCUGCCCUUGACUCUGGGAUAAGCCUGGGAAACUGGGUCUAAUACUGGAUACGACAUGCCACUGCAUGGUGGUGUGUGGAAAGGAUUUUACUGGUUUUGGAUGGGCUCACGGCCUAUCAGCUUGUUGGUGGGGUAAUGGCCUACCAAGGCGACGACGGGUAGCCGGCCUGAGAGGGUGACCGGCCACACUGGGACUGAGACACGGCCCAGACUCCUACGGGAGGCAGCAGUGGGGAAUAUUGCACAAUGGGCGGAAGCCUGAUGCAGCGACGCCGCGUGAGGGAUGACGGCCUUCGGGUUGUAAACCUCUUUCAGCACGGAAGAAGCGAGAGUGACGGUACGUGCAGAAGAAGCGCCGGCUAACUACGUG
rnacentral:rRNA from 1 species